UGCCUCUCGCAGCCGCAGCCCUCUUCGUCUUCGUCCUCACGCAACGCAGACUCUGCAUCCUCACACGCCGUGAAGCAGGAGGUUCAUUUCUCCCGCGGCUUCUCUUCCACUGUCGGUGCGUCGGGCAUCUAUCGCCGGCCACCGGUGAAAGGGUUGCAGAAAUCGCGUCCCCUCAUCAGCGUGCUCACCGUCAGCACUUCAGCAGCAUUCAUCUUCUGCCAAGUUCGAGCCAGUCGACUGAAGCUAGACGACCGUCUUGCUUCCUGUGCGUUCCUGUUUUAGAAACUGAAGACUCGUGUCAUAAAGCAGAAUGUCAAUCCAGAAUGGAAUGAAAAUUUGACGCUUUCAGUUUCUGAUCCCAUUUUGC